rnacentral:rRNA from 1 species
CCUACGGGUGGCAGCAGUGAGGAAUAUUGGUCAAUGGGAGAGAUCCUGAACCAGCCAAGCCGCGUGAGGGAAGACGGCCCUAUGGGUUGUAAACCUCUUUUGUCGGAGAACAAAACCCGGGACGUGUCCCGGACUGCGUGUAUCCGAAGAAAAAGCAUCGGCUAACUCCGUGCCAGCAGCCGCGGUAAUACGUAGGUGGCGAGCGUUGUCCGGAUUUACUGGGUGAAAAGGGAGCGUAGGGGGGAGUGCAAGUUGAAUGUAUAAACUAUCGGCUCAACGGAUAGAAGCGUUCAAAACUGCACGUCUUGAGUAAAGUAGAGGUAGGCGGAAUUCCUAGUGUAGCGGUGAAAUGCGUAGAUAUUAGGAGGAACACCAGUGGCGAAGGCGGCCUGCUGAGCUGUAACUGACGCUGAGGCUCGAAAGCGUGGGUAGCAAACAGGAUUAGAUACCCGGGUAGUC